CCCGCUUGCGGGGGAUUAGUGGCGAACGGGUGAGUAACACGUGAGUAACCUGCCCUUAACUCUGGGAUAAGCCUUGGAAACGGGGUCUAAUACUGGAUAUUGACUUUACCUCGCAUGGGGUUUUGUUGAAAGAUUUAUUGGUUUUGGAUGGACUCGCGGCCUAUCAGCUUGUUGGUGAGGUAAUGGCUCACCAAGGCGACGACGGGUAGCCGGCCUGAGAGGGUGACCGGCCACACUGGGACUGAGACACGGCCCAGACUCCUACGGGAGGCAGCAGUGGGGAAUAUUGCACAAUGGGCGAAAGCCUGAUGCAGCGACGCCGCGUGAGGGAUGACGGCCUUCGGGUUGUAAACCUCUUUCAGUAGGGAACAAGGCCAGCAUUUUUGUUGGUUGAGGGUACUUGCAGAAGAAGCGCCGGCUAACUACGUGCCAGCAGCCGCGGUAAUACGUAGGGCGCAAGCGUUAUCCGGAAUUAUUGGGCGUAAAGAGCUCGUAGGCGGUUUGUCGCGUCUGCCGUGAAAGUCCGGGGCUCAACUCCGGAUCUGCGGUGGGUACGGGCAGACUAGAGUGAUGUAGGGGAGACUGGAAUUCCUGGUGUAGCGGUGAAAUGCGCAGAUAUCAGGAGGAACACCGAUGGCGAAGGCAGGUCUCUGGGCAUUAACUGACGCUGAGGAGCGAAAGCAUGGGGAGCGAACAGGAUUAGAUACCCUGGUAGUCCAUGCCGUAAACGUUGGGCACUAGGUGUGGGGGACAUUCCACGUUUUCCGCGCC
rnacentral:rRNA from 1 species